rnacentral:rRNA from 1 species
UGGGGAAUAUUGCACAAUGGGCGAAAGCCUGAUGCAGCGACGCCGCGUGAGGGAUGACGGCCUUCGGGUUGUAAACCUCUUUCAGUAGGGACGAAGCGCAAGUGACGGUACCUGCAGAAGAAGCACCGGCUAACUACGUGCCAGCAGCCGCGGUAAUACGUAGGGUGCGAGCGUUGUCCGGAAUUACUGGGCGUAAAGAGCUCGUAGGCGGUUUGUCACGUCGUCUGUGAAAUCCUAGGGCUUAACCCUGGACGUGCAGGCGAUACGGGCUGACUUGAGUACUACAGGGGAGACUGGAAUUUCUGGUGUAGCGGCGGAAUGCACAGAUAUCAGGAAGAACACCGAUGGCGAAGGCAGGUCUCUGGGUAGUAACUGACGCUGAGGAGCGAAAGCAUGGGUAGCGAACAGG